GUUCUCAUUUGCAACUGCGACCUGGCCAAGAUAAAGCAAAGCAGUUUGACACAUACAACAACACAGAGUUACACAUGGAAUAAACAAACAUACAAUCAAUAAUACAGUACAAAAUUCUAUAUACAGCAUGUGCAAUGAGGUAGGAUAAGAGUGGUAAAGGCAAUAAAUAGGCCAUGGUGGCGAAGUAAUUACAAUAUAGCAAUUCAACACUGGAAUGGUAGAAUGUGCAGAAGAUGAAAGUGCAAGUAGAGAUACUGGGGUGCAAAGGAGCAAGAUAAAUAAAUAAAUACAGUAUGGGGAUGAGGUAGAUUGGAUGGGCAAUUUACAGAUGAGCUAUGUACAGGUGCAGUGAUCUGUGAGCUGCUCUGACAGCUGGUGCUUAAAGCUAGUGAGGGAGUAUCCAGCUUUAGUGAAUUCUGCAGUUCGUUCCAGUCAUUGGCAACAAAGAACUGGAAGGAGAGUCGGCCGAAGGGAGAAUUGGCUUGAGGGUGACCAGUGAGAUAUACCUGCUGGAGCGUGUGCAACGAGUGGGUGCUGCUAUGGUGACCAGUGAGCUGAGACAAGGCGGGGCUUUACCUAGCAGAGACAUGUAGAUGACCUGGAGCCAGUGGGUUUGGCGACAAGUAUGAAGUGAGGGCCAACCAAUGAGAGCGUACAGGUCGCAGUGGUGGGUAGUAUAUGGGGCUUUGGUGACAAAACGGGUGGCACUGUGGUAGACUGCAUCCAAUUUGUUGAGUAGAGUGUUGGAAGCUAUUUUGUAAAUGACAUUGCCGAAUUCGAGGAUCGGUAGGAUGGUCAGUUUUACGAGGGUAUGUUUGGCAGCAUGAGUGAAGGAUGCUUUGUUGCGAAAUAGGAAGCUGAUUCUAGAUUUAAUUUUGGAUUGGAGAUGUUUAUGUCAUCAUAGUAACCAAAUUUAAAAAUAGACAAACCUUGUAUACUGUGGCGACCCGUCAUUCAGGGCAGGUGGGGUUUUGAGCCUCCCCCUAAAAAAUGUUGUUUUUCUUAAAUACGUGUCACAUAUCAGUUUACAAACAAUGUAAAAAAUAAUCAUUGAGUUAAUAAAGCCGCAUACAAACAUGGUCGCUUUUCUGCAUUCUUGGGUAAGGCAGCUCCAAAAUGCAGGUGUUUCAGCCUGGCUCAGUGAUUUCUGUGGUGGUGGGGCAGCCAGCGGAAAAUAUGGAGCAAAGGGGUUGGUAAUGUUCUCCAGUUGCCCUGUGAUUAUCUCAAUGUUCUGUCACUCAUGGGGACACUACGUCACCGCCAAAUCUAAGGGAAGAGCUCAAAAAUUCAAGGCCCUUGGGUGCUGCCAUAGAGUUACAUUAGAAGUGUCCACCCAAGAAGGCUCAAGGUCAUUGGCCACAGAUAAAAUGACGUCAAAUCCCAUUAUAUCUACAAUAGCUUUGAUUGGACCGAUUUCAAAAUCUUAGCUAGCAGUCAUCAACAUAAAUCAAGUCGACAAUCUACUGGAAAAUCCUUUUUAAUCCUUGUCAUAUGAAAAUAAAUAAUGAAGAGAAAUUAUAGAUAAAAUGUAUCGGUGCUCAUCAGCCAUUGGACAUAAACAUUAAACAAGUUGGAAGUCGCAAAUUUAACAAUGAGUGGUUUGGAAGGAAUCAGUGGCUAACUGCAACCAUUGCAAAGCUAUCCCUAGCCUGCUAUUCAGUGGAGUGGGUGUGUGGUCCCAAGUCUGGGUUUAAGGGUCUCUUUUCCAAUCUUAAAAUGAUAAACAUUCAACAUUGGCCAUGCUGUCAAUCCAGCAUGAUUUCUGCCAUGCUCAAAACAAAUUAACUCAAAGCUGGGAAAUCUGACUUCAGUGAGUUCAAAACAACUGGGAACUCGGGAAAAAACGAGCUCCAAGUGGGAAAAUAGGUUUUGAACGGUCAUCCAACUCGGAAUUGUAAGUCGUGAACUUGGGUCUCUUUCUAGAGCUACGACCUGAAGAUCACUGACGUCAUCAUGAUUCAACCUUGUUUUUUUCAGAGUUCCCAGUUGUCUUGAAAGUUCAAUAAAUCCAGAGAAUGCCAGACUUUGAUCUUCUGCUUGGAUCGUUCCAUCUGUGCCACUGACUUAGUCUGGUUUUAAUUCCAGUUUGUUUACAACUUUAUAAUUGAUAUGUUUGAUUCAUGUCUCCAUCUGGAACUAUCCAAGAAGAAGAUACAUCUCCUUCAAAUGUUGAGAUUUGGUUGCGUUGACAACCAAACACAAUUCAGUAUCACUUCUGAAAUACAAUAACUAGCCAAUUAACUUGACGACAAAUUCGCAAAUGAUAUGUUGGAUUCACAUCUCCAACUCAACCAAAAAUAAAAGUUAAAGAAUGGGAUUAAGCCAGUGGCUCACAUGGAACUAUCCAAGCAGUAGAUACAUCUCCUUUAAAUGUCUAUAUUUGGUUGCUUGUCAAGCAAACACAAUUCAAUAUUACUUUUGUAAUACACUAAAUAGCACUAAAUAAAUUGAGGCUAUUUUACAAACUAAUGUAACAUUUAACCUUAAAAUGAGUAACACAUCCCAUGGCCACAUUUUGAGGUUUCUGUAACUAUACAUUUCUUCUUAUGUAAUCAAAUAAAGCGUGCAUGUUCAAGAUAGCAUGCAUAGGUCAUCGCAGGUCUGUGGAGAUCUUCACAAUUCCUGUAAUAAUCUGCUACGUAGAAUCUCAAACGGCAUUGAUCGCUUGCACCAUGUACUUUUAAUGUAAUUUCAACUCCAAUCCAGGUCAUUUGUUUCUGCUAUUAGAUAAAGCACAGUGAUAACACCAUCUGUUGUAUAAAUAAACAAAAUAUCUGACAUUGGAUUCCAAUUUCAACUUUGCUGUGCUUCUUAAUGUUUGAAAGCACAGUGACAGACAUUUGGGUGACAACUACACCAAAAAUCAAACAUUGUUUUUCCAUUGUUGUGCUUUUUGAUGGUUGAACGCAUAGUGAUAACACAUUGGAAAUUCAACUAACGUUGAAAAGCUCCACCCGCAGAAACCUGUCAAGCUGCCACUCUGUUUAAUGUCCCGAGGAGGCCUAGCCAAUGUUCAGAACUCAAACCAGUCAAGGCUGGAAAACAUUUAGCAAAGAUCAUGUUAGCUUGCUUGAUUCAUAAAAAGCAGCACUAAAGUCUAAGGCAGAAGACAUUUUCAGCUCAAAGUGGAUCCUCUUGGACCAUUUUUUGAAAUGGUUUGGUUUGGGCCCUGUUUCUGUCCGUUGGAAGUAGUGGUCUCAAUAAGGGCAGACGUGUAACCCCUCUGCUUCGCUGACAAGUUCUAGAUUGCCACAAGUUCUGGAUUGCACAGCUUUCCCCUGCUGUAUCCUCAUGCUCUGUGGUUGAGGACCAGACCACCACGUGCCCAGUUAAAGUUUGACACGGACUCCGGUCUCAUAUGUGGCUCUAAAAGGGUCUAUUUGUGAGCGCUUCUAUUUCAGGCUGUCUCCUGUCUUCUCUCUGGCCACUGGAGUGCUGUAAGCUGUCUGGAGAAGGAGGCAAAGUCAGGAUUUAUGUCACUCUUUUUCCUCCACAGAGGGAUCAAUGUAAUACUGAAGUCAAACAGGAAUAACAAUUUCAAGGUUUUCCAUGCUUUUCUCAAAAAAUUGUGUUCUGAGCCAUUUUGCUCAUUGUUUACUUUAAACUUGGUCUUAUAGUCUUUUUAUCUAGAUGCAUUAUGAAUGAAGUCUCAUUGUCUAUCUUUUGUUGUCUAACUUUUAAGCUUACCUUUACAGACUGUUGUCAUUACACAUUUGGAGCAGGGGGAUUGAGUCACACCUAAUGGUGAGACAGUGUAACGACUGUAACAUUGUAAUCUUAACAUGCAAUCAAGUUUUAAAGUAACUUUUGGUCAGGUGGUUCACUGUAGAGUGCAGAUGUCUUGUUAUGAUGAUUAUCAAUUAUAAAACGGAUCUGUUGCCUAAAGUUGCUUAUAUUUGAAGGUGAAAACAUCACCAAACUCUACUCACACCACAUGCAGUUAACCCCAUGGAUGGGUAAUCAGAGAGUAGGCAUUGAUUAUGUGCCUCUCUAAAAAUCAGCUGGCUCAAUUUAAAUAGAGAAAUGACAAUGGAUUGGUCUCCAGCGCAAACACCUACUUUCAAAUGACUUUUUAUCUUACAACAUGACUGAGUCACUGAUUUACGUUGAUAUCAAGUGCAUCAGUUUUAUUAUGCCAAAGAUCUGAGCAUUCUCUGGUAUUUGGAUGGUUGGAAACCUGAUGAUGAAUAUAAAAUGAGAAAUAUCGAUAAAAAAUAGCAUAUAUCAUCACUGUGCUGGAACCAUUUAAGCUGUCAGGGCUGCCAUUCAAAAUGAGUAUUCGACCUCAUACUGUAGGGCACUGCAUUUAUACAUAUACUUGUAGAUUUCAGAGCUGUAAUAUAAUGCAAAGCCCCGUUAAUCAUUCCAUUCAGGCACUCUGGCUUCUUGAUGAUUCACACUUGGACGCAAGCCCACCCAAUGUAAGAACUCAUUUAAACAAGUCAUUUCCUACAAUACUCAGGAUCCAGGGAGAAGAGUGCCAGUGAUCCAAUAUACAUACCCUCUGCACUGUGGUGGGCCUUUGGACAAAAAGGGAGACCCUGAACUCCGGAACAGAAAGCCUGAAUAUGCUGAAUACUCUUUAAAGUGUAACUGGCAGGGUUUUUAACUACUUUGCAGAUAUGAAACAAACAGAAAAUCAUAAUAUCAGCAAAAAUAUCAAAUUCACAGUUUAUGCUCCAACCCCUAUAAAAGGUUUCAAAAAUAGGUUAUAUUUGACAAAAAAAAUCCAUGACGUACAGUAAGGCAUUGUUGACAGAAUUGAUGGACGCAGUUCAAUGUAUGAUUAACAUAAUUCACCAAUAAAUGCGUUGGUAGUCCAAAAUAGAUUGCUAUCAGGUUAUAAAUCACACCUACCUAUAAAAUAGUUUGCUGCCUCCACCCACUCAGUUUCAAUGACUCAAUAUUUUGAACACUAACGGACGACUGUAACUAGCCUGGGAAUGUCAGUACAAUCAAACUACCAAGGGAAAUGAUCAGAAGUCAGUCAUAACUUGGCUAAUAGGCUAGCGCACAUGUGUCACACAAGGCCCGCAGGCCGAAUAGGACACACAAGCAAGUAUUAGUCAACAGUUGAGUCAUCUACUUUAUGAAAUUACAGCCUGAUGCACUUGCUUCGGUGGAUUCAACUUCAACUAUAUUUGAGCAGUAGCCUAGGUUGACACCUCAACUACAAUACAUUUUGAGCGCGCCAUACAGCAAUGCUGCGUUCAACUGCACCGGUGAUCGAUGGCGAACAGCUCUUUUUUUAAAAACAUGUUUAAACUUAAAAUGUUACAACAACCUAUUUGUUACCUUUUUGUUAUUUUGAUUUAUUCAAUACUGUUUUAUUAGGGUCGCAGCAUAUUAUGCGCAUCUACAAGCAUAGCAGCAAAGGCUGGACAAAUAUGAUUUAUCUCUUUUGUUUUAAUAUGUGAACAUUCUAUAUACAGCAAGCUAAAAACACGGAGCCUAACGUUAGCUUGCUAGGUGUUAGCAGGAUGUCAUGUCAUUGGAGGUGUUGGUGAGUGACGGACAUUUCCUUUCAUACGGUUGUUCGUUGCCUAUAGCGAGAUAUGCAGGUGUCAUUUGGUUAACGUUAGCUAGCAAGAAAUGUGAACCGCUAUGCUAGUUAGCUAGCUAUGCUGAACUUAGUUGUCGAUCAAAUGGGCGGGCAGGCAGGCAAGUUCCCAUUCAGAUGUCAAAACGUGGGUUGGGACAGGCAUGCAUUGGCAGGCAAACUGCAAAAGGAUGAGCUAUAGCUGGCAUUAGUUGUUGAUCUUGUUCUUGAUUUGUGCAUAGGCAACUGAGGGAGAGAGCCUACCGUUUCAUGGUUGUUUGAUCAAUAGUACUGUGAAGUUCCCAAAUGUAAGAGAACUCCCAUGUUAUUUGCAGAAAUCUAUUCAGGUGGCUUUUGGCGAAUGCGUUCGAAUGUUGUAAAGCCGCGCUGUUGUUACUGGCUGUAAUCACAGUCCAGUUCAAAGAGGAUUGCAGGCAUGUGUGGCAAACAGCUUAUUUGCAUAUCAGCCUACUGUAGCUAUGAUUGUUCCACUUUAAGUUACAAAGCAAGCUACACUUUAUAUCCUCUCUUCAGCAAUUUGAGAGGAUGGCUAAAUUGACCUAAUUUCAAGUCCUCCAGUGAUUUGCAUUCAUGGACAUCAAUAUUGCCAUCUCGUACUGUGGUACUGCCUAAGCAAUGAGGGAAAGAUGGGUCUUUCCCUCAUUGAGGUCAGGGUAAUGCGAAGAUUAAUAUUAAGGUCAUGCCAAAUUAGGGGUUAGGGUUAUGCCUUGGUUAGGGUUAUGGCAAACAUUUUUGAUGUAAAUGCAUUGUAUUACCAAUCUAGGGUUUGCCAGUUGAAUAUACACUACCUAUUCUCUAUUUUGGGAUGUAAUUGCAACAACUGACAACAAAAAUAUACUUGCAAAUUACCAAUAAAUAACAUUGAUUGUAAUACAUGUAUUUAGAUACAUUUCAGCUAUAGCUUCACAAUUUACACUUUUUUUAUUCUCAAUUUAAAAUUGACUAGGGGAGAGUGAGCCAUUUUUUACAUUCAGCAUGACUGUCAAAGGAAAUAUAGUAUUAUUUCUAACAAAGAUAUCUACAUAUAUUUCAGGAUGUCGUGUAUCCCUGAAAAUAAUCAGAAUUAAUGUAAACAUUACAAUUUUGAAAACAUAGCUUGUCCAAAAAAAGUCUCUUGGUACAACUUACCCCAGGCAAAUUAAGCCGCCUACAAAUGAAUGUACCAAAUGAAAUAUUUCCACGACCUUUUUAAAACCCAUCUCUAUCUUUAUUUCCCAAACGCAAUUCAACACAAUCGCUUCUUUGUCUUCGAAGCAUCUUCAACACAGGUUUAACACCUAACAAAACACUUUUAACAUAGGCCUGUUGUUACCUCAGUGAUAAUGCCUUGCAUUAGGUCUGGGAAUUUACUCAACUUGCCAUUGGCUCAACUUACCCCAUGGCAAACAUUUUGACUAUAUUAGCCCACACAGCUCCAAGGAUGCACUGUCAUGCUAGGUUUAGGAUCUCACAGUUAAGCUUAUAGAGACCCCGACUGAUAUAGAACAAUCUGGUUUAGAUACAUCAUGAAACCUUUAACACAAUCAAUUCAUUUGACUUGGUAAAAAUCUGUUUUGUUGGAGCUGACUUGCUUACCACUUUUUCCAUGUGGUUUCAUCCUUCAGACUCCGUGAUAUGAUGACCUCUUCCUAAAUGUUUGGUCAACUUACCCCUAUGGCUCAACUUACUCCACUCUCCCCUUAACAAUUUGUGUAGUACUGUAGGUCUAGUGAGUUCUAAAUGGAAAAAGAGAAUCCAGUUCCAUCUAGUGGUAGUAUAAGUAAAAUCACUAGUUUCUGUUACAGUGACACUGUAAAAGCAUUGGUUACUCAAUGAGACAAAAUCACUAUUGUUACCAUCAACAUCAGUCAUUACAGUAUAAACAAUUUAGCCAACAAUAAAACAGAUCCUGUUCAGAAUUAUCUUGUUUGCACAGUUGACAGGCAAAGUUGAGGACAAUAUCUAUAUUUUCUUCAUUUGUUUAAUUGCACAAACAUAGGAUAUGACAAUCAUAGAGUUGAAAGAAAUGCAUGUGCAGGAGAAGUAAGAAACCCAAUGCGAGCGUGGAAACUGGUGUCUGAGCCUGUCCCCUCCCUGGAUGGUUUGGUGGUCUCUCUAUAGGCUGGUUUGUUUAACCUCACUGGCCUUGCCAGCUUCCAUUUCUACAGCUGUGUUCUCAUACAAACCACCAUCUUCCUCUCUGCAAGACAAAAACACGGGCUUUACAAUGAGCGUGUGUAGUUUGAUAGCCUUCUGUCUCGGACUGCAGCAGUUGAACAUUUCAUAAGAAAAUACACUUGCUUGUGAGAUCCUGGUAAGUUAGUUAAGGACAACAGGAGGUCACAAUUUUAAAGUAUGAAAAGAUUAUGUCAGGCAGUAGUGGAAAAGUACCCAUAUGUCAUAUUUUAUUUAAAAAAAUGCCUCACGUGAAAGUCACCCAGUAAAAUCCUACUUGAGUAAAAGUCUAGAAGUAUUUGGUUUUAAAUAUACAUAAGUAUCAAAAGUAAAUGUAAUUGCUCAAAUUUACAUAAGUAUAAAAAGUAUAAAUAAUUUCAAAUUGCUUAUAUUAAAGCAAACCAAACAGCACCAUAUGACUUGUUUUUUAUUUAAUUUACAGAGAACCAGGGGCAUGCUCCAACACUCAGACAUAUUUACAAACAUAGCAUUUAUAUUUAGUGGGCCUGAGGCAGUAGGGAUGACCAGGGAUGUUCUCUUGAUAAGUGCGUUGAAUUUGACCAUUUUCCUGUCCUGCUAAGCAUUCAAAAUGUAACGAGUACCUUUGGGUGUCAGGGAAAAUGUAUAGAGUAAAAAGUACAUUAUUUUAUUCAGGAAUGUAGUAAAAUAAAUGUAAAAGUUGACAAAUAUAAAUAGUAAAGUACAGAUACCCCAAAAAAUGACUUAAGUAGUACUUUAAAGUAUUUUUACUGAAGUACUUUAAACCACUGGUUGCUGGUGCCUGUUACACAAGGUACCUCUGGUCAUCUCUGUGGACGUGUCAUUGUAGUCACUGACUGAAUAUUACCUUGGCAAAUGGCUAGCAGCCUGCACUGAUAAGACAAUAGUAUAGCAGAUCAGCAAUAAGCUAAAGGAUCUCUAAGGUUAAGGAGAUUAUUUUUGCUUAGAUAUUUACCCUUGUCAUCCCACUUUACAACAAGUGUCACUAAUACCAUGUAAGUACACAGAAUAUAUGCAGGUGCAGUGCAUUUAGGUUAUCACCUCUGUUGUACUUACUUUUCCUUCUUGAAGAAAAGCCUUUGUACAAUAAGGAUGACGAAGACGAUGAAGAGGAAUCCCACUACAGCAGCCAGACCAACAAGCCAAGGCUGCAGUGUCCCACCCUUGGAUGUAGUGAGCCGUACGCCUCCUAUCGUUUGGCUUACCACUCUGGGCCUGGUUAACACAAACCGCCAGUGAUAAACAGACCAGGAAAGUUUUGUGGAGAGACAUUAUGAAUCCUUGUUGAUCCCAGGAGGCCUCUGAGGUUGGGGUUGUGUAGAACCUGUUCACUGUCACGAUACUCCUUCUGGACUGGUAACGUCCUGUGAGUUCAAAGUGCAGUAUACAGCACAGAGAGCAACCAGAUUGCACCAUGUUGCCAAUGAUA
ensembl:lncRNA